ACUCCUACGGGAGGCAGCAGUGGGAAUAUUGCACAAUGGGCGCAAGCCUGAUGCAGCCAUGCCGCGUGUAUGAAGAAGGCCUUCGGGUUGUAAAGAUUUCAGGCAGUGAGGAAGGUGGGUAUGUUAAUAGCAUACUCAUUUGACGUUAGCUGCAGAAGAGCACCGGCUAACUCCGUGCCAAGCAGCCGGCGGUAAUACGGAGGGUGCGAGCGUUAAUCGGAAUUAACUGGGCGUAAAGCNCAUGCAGGUGGUUUGUUAAGUCAGAUGUGAAAGCCCGGGGCUCAACCUCGGAAUUGCAUUUGAAACUGGCAAACUAGGAGUACUGUAGAGGGGGUGAGAA
rnacentral:rRNA from 1 species